AAUACACCAUAGAUCUAAAGCCUGUUACCGUCUGUAUUAUCUAAGUCGUCAGAAAAUGUAGAUGCGAGUGAAGUCCUCAGAAAAUGUAGAUGAGAAUGGAAUUGUAAGACAAUCAAAGAAAAUGAAAAAAAGAACAAGAACAGCUUAACUGCAAGAAAAGAUCACAACUGUAUCUCACUUCAGUUCCAGGUGAUGUUGACUAUCAAGUUAAAUGCUUUAACCGAGGCUCCUGUCGAUAACGAAUCAACCAAAAAGGCUGUUUUCCGAAAAAUGAAAGGGACAUCUGCCCCCAAAAAAGGAUGACAAUGAAAAAACUAAAGAAUUUAUUGGCCAUGUUAUAGGCGAACUAAAUAAAACAAAUGUUAACAAGGCAAUGCAUGGGAAAGUUUUGAGGCCUUUUGGAAGACAAUAGAGACAAUGCUGCCAGGUAAUGAUUUAUUAGACACAUCACACGUAUUAUCUUAACUUCAAACAUGUUUGAUCAUUUGCUUAAAACAUAUAACCUACUUGAGACAGCAAACAGACCUAGUCAAAUGUAUAUAUAUAGCCAAUUUAUCUGUUUGACAAAAUCUUCAUAAGGAAUAGGUAUUAGUUAUAUUAAAUUAUAUACAUUUGGUAACAUCAGUAUCUUUGCAAAACAUAUCAAGAGCAAACUGUAUAUGUCCUACUUUUAAAGCCUUUAUGCACCAAUGUAACAUAUAAAUUUUUUGAAUGAAUAUCAAGAAAAAGCAGUUUUUCUAAAUCAGUAUAAUAUUUCAUUAUUUUGGUCAUUGAAAUAGUUUACGAAUGGAUUCUUUCUUUCUGUGGGUCGAUUUGAAACUGCCAUCAUCAUUAACUUUUCGCCCCUGUU